rnacentral:rRNA from 1 species
AGCGUAGACGGCGCAGCAAGUCUGAUGUGAAAGGCAGGGGCUUAACCCCUGGACUGCAUUGGAAACUGCUGUACUUGAGUGCCGGAGGGGUAAGCGGAAUUCCUAGUGUAGCGGUGAAAUGCGUAGAUAUUAGGAGGAACACCAGUGGCGAAGGCGGCUUACUGGACGGUAACUGACGUUGAGGCUCGAAAGCGUGGGGAGCAAACAG